UUUUUUUUGGCCUGUCCCUGUCUCCACUCUCCUGCUUCUGCUACCAAGUACUGAGAAAAAAAAAAGAAAAAAAAAAGGAACUUCUUUUUUGGAUUCUUCAUAAAUAUAAAUACCCCUCCAAAACAAGAUAGAUUUCCUUUGUUAUCUCUCUCGCUCUCUCUCUUUUAUAAUAAUUACAUUAUUUAGUAUUUAUCUUGGUCUAUCUGCAGCACAAUUUGUUUGUUUGAAUUGUACGGAAAAAUGGACGGAGGCGCCCAGUACAACCCCCGAACUGUAGAGGAGGUUUUCAGGGAUCUUAAAGGCCGUAGAGCUGGAAUGAUCAAAGCCCUAACUACUGAUGUAGAAGAAUUUUAUCAGCGGUGUGAUCCUGAGAAGGAGAAUCUUUGCCUGUAUGGGUUCCCUAAUGAACAGUGGGAAGUCAAUUUACCUGCUGAAGAAGUGCCUCCCGAACUCCCAGAGCCUGCACUUGGAAUUAACUUUGCCAGAGAUGGGAUGCAAGAAAAAGACUGGCUCUCUCUAGUUGCUGUUCAUAGUGACGCGUGGUUGCUUGCUGUGGCUUUCUACUUUGGCUCUAGAUUUGGUUUUGAUAAAACUGAUAGGAAACGUCUUUUCACUAUGAUAAAUGAUCUCCCAACAAUAUUUGAGAUUGUAACUGGAGCUGUGAAGAAACAAGCAAAGGAGAAAUCAUCCGUCUCAAAUCAUAGCAGCAACAAGUCCAAGUCAAGCUCAAAAGGGCGAGCAUCAGAUUCUGUCAAGUAUUUGAAGGGGCAACCAAAGGAUGAGGAGGAAGGACUGGAUGAGGAGGAGGAGGAGCACGGGGAUACUUUGUGUGGGGCGUGUGGAGAGAACUAUGCUGCAGAUGAGUUCUGGAUUUGUUGCGACAUAUGUGAAAAGUGGUUCCAUGGCAAGUGCGUGAAAAUCACUCCUGCCAGGGCUGAGCACAUCAAGCAGUACAAAUGCCCAUCAUGCAGCAACAAGAGAGCUAGACCUUGAUAUUAAUAUGGGUGUGGGUCCUCACCUCUGCACUUAUCUCAUGCUCAACUCAGCUAACUCUUUAGCCAGUCAGGUUUUCUAUGUUGUGCCAUGUUACCACAGCAUGUAAAUCAACUAAAGAAGACAUUAUAUAGGAAUUAAAAUGAGAAUUCUUAUCCCACUGUCGAUUCCUUAGCAAACAAAGCAUUGAAGUGGGUAGAUUUGCCAGAUAAGGUCUGCAGCAUAACAAAGCUCUUUCAAGUAUGUGUUCGUCUAUAUAUAUGUAUGUAUGCAUGCAAUAUUAUUUUUUUGAGAAAAAAAUAGAAAUAAACAAUCUGAAAAGGAAGAAGAUCCAGCUUUCAACUUCCCAGAAAGCCAGCAAUCUUUCUUAUUUUCGUUUAAGCCGUUCAUCAAUGAAAAUUGUAGGGUGAUGCAGGCUUCUUUCCAAAGAAUGGAAUAGUCUCACCAUCAAUCUCCAUUGCCAAAGAACCAAAAUAAUAUCUGGCUAUUUCAUAAAAAGCAUGACUAGCAACAUUUUUUUUCCA